rnacentral:lncRNA from 1 species
CCUUUUCUAGGGCCACUCCCUCAGCACAUGGAGGUUCCCAGUCUAGGGGUCUAAUCGAUGCUGUAGCCACUGGCCUAGGCCUCAGCCACCACAAUGUGGGACCUGAGCCUUGUCUGCAGCCCACGGCAACACCAGAUCCUUAACCCACUGAGUGAGGCCAGGGAUCAAACCCGCAACCUCAUGGUUCCUAGUCGGAUUCGUUAACCACUGAGCCACGACGGGAACUCCUGAAUUAGACACCUACUGCUUGAUGGAUGGGGAGAUGAUAAGGUCAUCCUGUAGAAGAGCUUGUGAGACAUGCAAUAUGUCUUUGGAAUGUGCCAUCUGCCAUUGUCUUUGGAAUGUGCCAUCUGCCAUAACCAGUUUGGACCUCAGUGUGAAGUUAGACAAAGUUGCCUCUCCACUCCUACAGACCUAGUCCCAUGACUCUCCUCCUGUUUGUUGCCUUUACCCUCAAAUUCUUCCACAACCCAGAUUCUACUUUUCUCUAACAUCCCUUACAGAACUUCACUAUUUUGAGUCCCACUUUCCUCCUGACCCCAUUAGAUAACUGGAGGCAGCACUUGGCAGUGGAAAGAGCGCUGAAUGAAAAGUCACCUCCCAAUGCUUCUACCAGUGAUCCAGGUUCUCCUAGGCAACUCACCACAACUGCAGUUUUCUCAUUUACAUGAUACAGGCAUGUGGGUUUGGGGGAUAAGAUAAAACCAUCUUCAACAUCAAUUCUAAUCAUUCCUAAAUCUAAUAUGAGUUCAGGAGUAAACGGAUAACCACAAAAGAUCGCUAUUUAACCCUGCUAAAAAUAUUUAGUUAUAUCGUUCUUCAACAAUUUUGAGUAAAUACGGAAGAGAGGAGUUCAAAUGUCCUUUGGCAGCCACAAAUAGGUAAAAAGCUAGCAAAAAUAUGAAGAAUGCCACUGAAAUGACCAUGAAUGGUUUGUUGCAAAUACAUAAUCUAAGGGAUGUAUUCUAAGUUCCUCCAGUAAUGUGAUAGUUCACUGAACAUUAGCAUGGUUGUGAAGGGGAGACUCUACUGGAAGCAGUGACCCAGGGGUGCAUGUUCUUUCCAUUUUGUGGUUAUACAGUAGUUAUACCAUCUGGACAUGUGACCAUGGAGGAAGACAGAAGAAUGGAGAGGGUGGGGACCACACAGGCAUAUUUAUGUGCAACUCAGAAGUAGAGCACAUCACUCCUUCCCACAUCUUAUUGGCCAGAUUGCUGUCACAGGGUCUGAACCAACCCGUGAGAGAGUCUGGGAAAUGUAGUCUUCCUUUGUGCCUAGAAAAAAAGAAAUGGAUUGGCAAACAUCUAACACAUGACAGGACCACUUACAAAGGAGAUGUACUUUGUUUCCACCUUACACCAUUUGCUGCUUGGGGCCAUUUAAAGAGCUAUUCAUUGUCCAACCAAUUGGAUUCCAUAACCCAGAUCUCUCUUUGGUGGUUGAAAUAGCCAGAACAUGGUGUAUAAAAGCACAUACACACAUUCUCUCUCUCUCUCAUUGCUAGCAGCAAAUGUGCUAACAGCAUAGUUGAUUUGGGUCUAUUAAUAAUGGAUCCUCAUAAUAAGCAUAGCUCUGUGUCAGACACCAGGCUGUGUGUUUUACUUUCGUGCAUUAUCUCAAUUGAUCUUCACAGAAUUGUGUGAGGCAGUCAUUCAUUAUUAUUCUCAUUUUACAGAUGAGGAAAUGAAACUCAAGUGAGAUAAUUUGCUCAAAGUCAUCCCAUGACAAAGUGGCAAGGUCGGGACCCAUAUCUGAGUCCAUCUGGUUCUCGAACCAGUGCUCUUAACUGCUAUGCUGUACUGACCUCCCAUGUGUAAAGACACUGCCAGAGUGAGGAGGAAGGAGAUCCCAUGGGGAAGGAACUUCAGGCUUUUCUCAUCUUAUAGGCACAGUAGUUCUAAGUGUGACUUUCUGACCCUCCCAAGAGUUUUGCAUACAUGACCUGGACGGAUGCUGCACACAGUCCAGCUUUAUGUUGCACCACAGGAUGACGUUCCCACUGCUCUGCUCUGUCUCAAAGCCCGCUCCAUUUUCCACCCUGGCACAGGGAAUGAUCCCAGUGUGGAGCUUGGCUAUAAAACUCAGCCUGCACCACACUUGCUCACACUUGAUAUAUUGCCAUAUGCUAUCUUAAAAUGCUUGUAUGUGCAGCUUAAUCUUUGCACCUACAGGGGAAACGAGACCAAAGCCGUGCCUUUCCCCCAGCACCUAGUGCUGUACAAGGCACAGCAGAGGUGUCCGAGAAACACAUGCUGAUAUAGAGUGAGCAGCCAUGACGUCACCUCUGUACCUCAGUUUCCUCCUUUAUAACAUUAAGGGCUUUGGCAGGAGAAUAUCUAAGGGCUCAUCCAGCUCUAUGAUUCUACAUAUUGCUAGGCAUUCCUCUUCAAGGGCAUCCUGUUCAAAAACUUCAUAAAUUUUUCCUGCAAAGCCAAAGUCACUGAAUGGUCACAGGGCAAGGAUAGUCACAUAUUCACUAACUAACUAACCUUUCCAAACACAUGUGAUUAUAACUGAGUUUCCAUAAAGAAAAUUGCCUUUUAAAGUGACAGGAAGCCAUUAUUGUAAAAUGACUAAUAAUGCAGCAAAGAGCCGUAACGUGAUUCUUGCCCAAGUCAUUAAUCAAUUGAUGCAUUUUAACAAGGAGCUUCCUUAUGCAUUCGCUAGUCAUUUAUUCAAAUCAAGUAAAUAUUGUCCACAUUGUCCACUGAGAAAGAACAGGAUGAUUUAUUAAGGAAUUGAGAAGACCACAUUUCUUGGAGAAAUUUUACAAUGAAGGAUUCUUUCAAUAAAGUGUUUUCAAGGAGUCAGAUGGCCCUAUGGGCUAUGCAAUGUGUUUGCAUAUCUUGGAGCCUCAUCGAAUUCUGUCUAGCAGCCUAAUGCAGUGAGGUUUAAGGCUACUCCCCUUGCCUCCUGGAUCAGUUGCUCUCACACUUGAGGACAAUACCAUUCAAGAGGCAAUAGCUUGGUAACAAAGACCCUGAUAGCCAUUUGUACUUUUAAGUCAAUGGCUUGCCUCCCUUCCUGGUUUAUCAAAUACGUAGGUACUUUGCAAACCAAAAGCUUCGAACUUAGAUGGGUUUCGUUGGAACCUGGCAGCAUCUCCUAGCAGGAUUUGUCAGCUCUAUUCCAUAGCUAUUAUCACUUCCACAAGGAGAGGACAGAGGCAAGAUAGUUCUAGGACCUGCAACCAAGGACUUUUUCCUGUUUAGAAGGAAAUGCUCAAAACAACCUCAAAUGUGAAGCUACUGGAAAACUAUAGAUGAUGAUCCACUUACCACUAACCAGGAUAUGAUAACAUUGAAGGUCAGAGCAGUCAAUAGGUGCCAAGUUAGGGCAAAAUUUAGACCAGAAUAUAUCUACCCAAUGGCAAAGUAUCUCGUAAAUUCAAGUAAUUUUUUAAAGCAUAUCCUUUAAAUUUAGGUAAGGAUAUAGAUAUAUAGAGAGUGAUUUUUUUUUCCUUUCAUAUGGGCUGUUGAAACAUCCUAGAAACACUACCUGGGACUUUUCCCAGGAGUUUUGUGAUCUGAUUUUUGCCAACUGGCCUCAAACACAUCUGUACACACACUCAGAGACACGUACGCCAAUACAGAGUUAGCAAGCUUCUUCACUUUUUACUGUGGCCCCCAGACACUUAGAGGAUUCCCUGUCCCCCAGAAAGAACAUUGCCAAGGCUCCUGCAAGUGUGGAAGAGUGUACUCCUUCCUUCCAAAGAAAUGAUGGAAUUAAAAGGGAGGCUCAAAAUCCGAAGCAAAAAAGGGAGGCUCUGUGUGGGCAACAUCUUAAGCCACCUCACCUUGCAUUUUUAUCAUAUAUAAGGGUCCAUUCGGAGCUGUAGCCACCAGCCUAUGCCACAGC